CCCAUGUCGUUUGUUUGUCUGUGAACCUCACAUUGUGCCAUAGGGUGACCAACUGCCUCCUCACUCGCCAGCAUGCGAGGCCAGCAUGACCGGUUUCUUACACAGGCGCAUAUUUUCUGAACUCGGCUGCUACCGAUUUUGAAAUCUGUGAGUCGAGCGAGAGCCAUGGUUCUGGGAUGUUCGCAGGGCCUCCGCCCCGGUACUGGCCUCGCACACAGCCCCAAACGGGAGAGGACAACCAGGAGGGGAGGCUGAUGGACUCCCGGCCGGUAGCAGCCGUUCUUGACAAUGAAGGGAAAAGGCAAGCUGGAGGAACGACGCGGGAGGAAAGUCACUAGCCCCUCGGAAUAUGGUUUCCACACCUUUAUGGCCCCAAUCUGCUUUAAGACGGAAGAACUUCUGAGGUUCUCUGACAACCGCAGCCAGCCCAAGCCACAUAAGUACAACAUUUAAGAGCUCCUUUUGGCCCCUGUUGUAUCAUGGCGCUCACCCUGGAACUGUCAAGACCCUAACAAUACUGAGAAGUUUCUGGCAAUGGGAAAUUCCUGGGAAUGAGAAGUUAAGUGUGGAACAGUGGGAAAAGCAUGACUUAGCUCUGGAGAGCCUUACUUGAAAUCCCACAUGCACAUCCCAGCUGUGUGGUGAUGGGGUGUCACUGACACUCACUGAGCCCGUGUCCCCGUCUCUGAAGGUCACUGGACAGAUACUUAUUUAGCGCGAGCUCUGUGCCCCUCUGAGCUGUUCUAGGUGCCUGGGAUGCAGUGUGGCCUCAUGGAGUGUUCUGUCGUGAUCUCAGGUUCUGACGGAAGGUUUCCUCGAAGAAUUGCUGUGAGAAUCUGAGCCCGUGGCAGGGAGUUUCUAGAACACCAUAGGAAGGCAUAA
rnacentral:lncRNA from 1 species